GAAGCAACCAAAUCUAUGUAAAACCCCAUGCUGGGGGACUGCCCCCUGCUCUGUGAGACAGAGAUGGGGAUGUGCAUAGUCUGGUGUGCAGCAGUGUAUCUCUUGGGAGCAAGCCAAACUGAUGCUAAAAUAACCCAAACACCGAGUCUGGUGCUGGAGAGAGGACAGACUGCCUAUCUCAAAUGUCAGCAAAAAUAUGGGCAUGACAGCAUGUUCUGGUACCGGCAGGAUCCAGGGCAGGGACUGCAGCUGCUCUUUAACUUCUACUAUAAAAAAGAAAGAGAGAAAGGCACAAGUUCUAGUCACUUCCAGGCUGACCAGCCGCAGGAUGAUCUCUUUCGCUUGAACAUCUCGUCUGUGCAGCCAGAGGACUCGGCUGUGUAUUUCUGCGCCAGCAGCUCAGACACAGCACUUCAGAGUCACCUCCUCCCUCUACAAAAACCUCGCCUGUUCCUUGUCACUCUGCAGCCUCACCACAGGGACAGCAACAAGGUACAUUCUCUGUGAGUGCUGCAGAGGGGCCAGAGGGAGAGAGCAGAAUGGAGAAUAGAGUAAUACCUUUCAGUGUGGGGAGCCACCUGGGAUACACAGAAUAUACACCCCUGCCAUGAACACAGCUGGUGUAAGAAUAAUAACCUUUGGCCCUUAUAGAGUACCCAAUAUCUGAGGGUCUCAAAACACUUUUCAGACAUAAUGGACUAUAGCUCCACAACACCAUCCUGUGUCAUGAGGAAGGAUUCAUAUCCCCACUUUACAGAUGGGGAAACAGAGGCACAGCAAGGUUUAUGUGACUUUCCUAAGGACAAAAAAGAAGUCAGUGGCAGAGACAGAAGAAGGAAUACAUCUCAUGUAUCCUGACAGACGCCUCUGGGCUUAAACCACCAUGAUCCUUUCCCAUGUGUCUAGAAACAUACAGCCUGUUGCAUUACUUUUGAUGAAAUAUAUGGGCCCAAAGAAUUAAAAGUGUUAACAUGAUCCUGUCACUGUCCAUCAUAAAACAUGUGUUAAACAAGGCCUAGUGUUUGGUAUACAGAGACUUUAGCCUGCUUAGCACCAUGGCAAACACACCAUUAAAAAUUCUCGUUAACCUUUUAU